AUGAACGCUGGCGGCGUGCUUAACACAUGCAAGUCGAACGAAGCACUUUAUUUGAUUUCCUUCGGGACUGAUUAUUUUGUGACUGAGUGGCGGACGGGUGAGUAACGCGUGGGUAACCUGCCUUGUACAGGGGGAUAACAGUUGGAAACGGCUGCUAAUACCGCAUAAGCGCACAGCAUCGCAUGAUGCAGUGUGAAAAACUCCGGUGGUAUAAGAUGGACCCGCGUUGGAUUAGCUAGUUGGUGAGGUAACGGCCCACCAAGGCGACGAUCCAUAGCCGACCUGAGAGGGUGACCGGCCACAUUGGGACUGAGACACGGCCCAAACUCCUACGGGAGGCAGCAGUGGGGAAUAUUGCACAAUGGGCGAAAGCCUGAUGCAGCGACGCCGCGUGAGCGAAGAAGUAUUUCGGGAUGUAAAGCUCUAUCAGCAGGGAAGAUAAUGACGGUACCUGACUAAGAAGCACCGGCUAAAUACGUG
rnacentral:rRNA from 1 species